AGGUGCUACGAAAGGGAACUCCGCAGCAUCAGUCAGCGAGGCAGGACCCGUCUCUGUGUACGGUGAAGUAUCCGACGACAGGGACAGACUGUGCAGCGCUGCGGGAGAAAGGAGACGACCAACCUGUGCUCAGAUAGAGCCCUCUGCGAAUGGAAAAGGGGUUGUUCAUCCUGGAGGAGGCUUUUAUUCGGAGCACGUGAACCUCUGGAGGCCAACACCAGCCCGCUCGAGCGCUCCCUAAACCAGCGAUCCCAACGUAGAGCAGCCAGGUGGCAGAGCAGAGGAAUUAGAGCUUAGCAGAGCCUCUACCCCUCCGAAGUGUUUCCUGAGAAAGCGUGCCUUGGGGCUGGAGACAGUCGCUGAGGCCACUGGCUGGCCUCGGCCCCAGGCUGGGUGACUGGCAGUACGCCGGAAGCUCCUGGACAUGACGUGACAA